rnacentral:rRNA from 1 species
AGAUUGAACGCUGGCGGCAUGCCUUACACAUGCAAGUCGAACGGCAGCACGGGAGCAAUCCUGGUGGCGAGUGGCGAACGGGUGAGUAAUAUAUCGGAACGUGCCCAGUCGUGGGGGAUAACGCAGCGAAAGCUGUGCUAAUACCGCAUACGAUCUCUGGAUGAAAGCGGGGGACUCGCAAGGGCCUCGCGCGAUUGGAGCGGCCGAUAUCAGAUUAGCUAGGUUGGUGGGGUAAAAGCUACACCGAAGGCGACGAUCUGUAGCUGGUCUGAGAGGACGACCAGCCACACUGGAACUGAGACACGGUCCAGACUCCGUACGGGAGGCAGCAGGUGGGAAUUUGGACAAGUGGGCGCAAGCCUGACUCCAGCAAUCGCCGCGUGCGAGGAUGGAA